ensembl:lncRNA
GUCAUUUCUCUUUUAUUUGUAUUUUUCCCACAAAAUAUCUGCUAUCUCCCUGAUGCUUUCUCAUUAUCUAUGCCCAAUAUUAUCUCCUCCACCCAAAUCUGCCUCCUUUCUAAGCAUAGAAAAAUGUCCUUUUAAUUUUUCACAGUGUCUUCCCAAUGUGUCAUUCCCUCAUCAACUUCAACAUGAAAUAUUAAAAUGUGAUAAGGUAAACAUAUGUGACAUUUGUAUAAGCGCGUGUUCAAAAUGCGUCCUCAGUUAAAAUGUCACCUUUCGCUAGCCUCCUGCCUGCCUCCCAAAUCUCUCUCUCUUAGCUUUUCUCAUCCCUGCAGCCUCAUCUCCUGCUGCCCUGUACCCUUUCCUUUCUGCUCACUGAAGUCCUCUCCAUCCUUCAAUGCACAUUUCCAAAACCUACUGUCAUGAAUUUUCCCUUGACCAUUUUCCUCAAAAGCUCCUAUUUAGUCUUUGGACUGUUACCUGAACUUGUCAAGUAUACAUUUAGCCUUUGAAUUAUUACCUAAUCUUGUUACCUAACAAUUCACUUGUUUGUGUCCUGUUUCUCUCAAUCCUAUAGGACCUCUUACUUUUUGCUUACAGCAUCUAGCCACAGAGUUGAGUGUGCAGUGUAGUAGAAGGACCCUGGUUUGAAUCCUGACUUGUCUGCUUCCUAACUGUUUGAUUUUGGACCAGUUAUCUAAGCAAUCUGAGUCUAUCCUAUUACCUGUAAUAUGAGGAUAUCCACACUUAUCUGGCAGGGGAAUGACAGAGACAGUUAAAUGAGAUAAUGUCUGUAAAGUACCUCACACAUAAGAAGUACACAAAAAUCGUAGCUCUUACUAUAAUGAUCAUAGAUUCCCAUUAACCGCUGUUCAUUUGAUAUUUUUGACUUAGACCAAAGCAGUAACUCCAAAAUUCAUAAUCCCAGGAUAGGAUAUUAGAGGAAAUCUCUUUGCAUAGGAUCGCAUUCUAGGAACACUCAAUACUUUAUGGAGUUCAUCUUCCUCUAGAUGAAGAAAAGAUUGCUUUGUGACAAAUGUUCUAGAGGCUGGGCAGUCCAACAUGAAGGUGCCAGCAGAAAUAUGGAAAGAGAUUUAUGAUGAGGAUUGUCCCACAUGAUUAUGGAGGCUGAGAAGUUGCACAAUCUGCCAUCUGCUAGCUGGAGUCCAGGAAAGAUGGUGGUGUGGUUCUAGUCCAAGCCUGAAAUCCUGAGAACCAAGGAACCCAGUAGUUUAAGCCCCAGUCUGAGGCCCAAGGCCCUAGAACCAGGACUGUUGAUUUUCAAGGACAGAAGAUGGAUGUCUCAGCUCAAGCAGAGAGAGCGAAUUAGCCCAUCCUCUACCGUUUUUGUUCUACUCAGAUCUUCAACGGAUUGGACAACGCCCACCCAUAUUGAUGAGGGCAUCUUCUUUAUUCAGUCUACCAAUUUAAAUGCCCACCCCCUACCCCGUACCUAGGUCAGUCACCACUAUCACUUGCCUCUCUGCUGCACUUUUAUUGGUCUCCCUGCUUCCACUGUGGUCUGUGACUUCUCUCUACCAUUAGUGUGCUGGCAAACCAGGUCACAAAUAAUAAUAAUAAUAAACAAGUAAAAAGUAAAAUUAAAAACCUCAUUUGCAGUGUUUGUCAGUUUCAGUGAUGUAAAUACUCCCACUGUGGCUACCAGUGUGAUGUCGCUGAGCAUGGAGCUGGGAAAAGAUGUGUUUGGUGGGUCUGAAGAGCCUAUACCAGUGGGACCCCACAUCCCUGGCAGGUGGAGCAGCUCACCUCUCCCUUCAUGUAAUAUCAGUUUCGUCUCAUGAGACGUGACCGUAGACAAACUCUGUCAGCCACUUCUUAACUGGUGCUUUUCUUCUGCUCAGGUUUUUAAGACAAAAGAAAGACAUCUGGCCAACAGGAGGCAGAAAAACCAGCAUGAGAAAUAUCACAUUGUUACUUAACAUUAUUUUGAGAAGAAAAUAAAUAAAAUUUUGUUAGAAAAUCCUUUUGACUGAUUUCAUUCACUUGCAGUUCUGAAUAUUUCAUCUCACUGCCUUAUAAAUAAGAACAAAUUAAUUGAUUAGGACCCAACACAAUGCCUC